rnacentral:lncRNA from 1 species
CCCCAGAAAAAAAAUACCACGCUUAUGGUGAUUUUACCAAGUUAGAGUACUAAAUUGUUGGAGAGAGAUUUUUUUUUACUUGCUAAAUAAAAUAGCGACUUGCUAAAACUAAAGAUUGUCAAAUAAAUCUUUAUAUCAUAGCAGUAAAGGGGGUGGCUGCUGCUUUUUUUACCAUGAUGGCAACUUGAGAAGAUUUCUGUUUUUUUUUCAUGCUACAUUUGAUUGUUUCAUCUAUUUUAUCUUUCAUAGUUUCUGCUUCAGAUUAGUAAAGAAGUAAUAUCCCGUCAAUAGCUUUAGUAUUUGCAUGAGUUUGUUCAUGUAGAUGUUAUUUCACUUGAAUAACAGAACCAGCUUGAUGAGAGAGUAGAUGAGGCUCAUUAGCUUUUUUCAGUCUAAUUCACCACAUUGUCACAUCAAUUUAUCAAGACUUGGAAUGGUCUCAGUUUGAGUAUUUGUGCAAUACAAUUAUACAAAUUGCUUAUAGUAAAAUAUUCUAUCUAGUGAUUGCUAAGUUUUGCCAUGAUAAAUAUGUUCCUGAAUUACAAAAGUUGGUGCUAAUUUAGUCUUCAAUAUUUAGGUCUUAAUUUGUGGUUUUGCUCCUGGUUCAGUAUUCAAGACUUAAAAUUUCUUGGAACUUUGAUGAUCUUGGCAGAUAGUCCUACCAACGUGAGCACCAGCCAAAAAUGAAGAGAAUAUAAUGUUACAUACUAGAAUACCAACUUUAUAUGCACCCUUAAUUCAUGAUGAGAGAAUAAAUAAAUUCUAUCUGGAGUAGUUUUGUACAAUGAUCUAGACCAUCUGAAACUUCUGAACAGGAGUAUUUUAAUUUCCAUUUAGCCUUGUGUAUAAUUUAGUGUUUGCUUGUCUUCUUGGCAUUGCGUGAUAGACUGAAAAUAGGUGCCUGAUUUUGUUUGGCAUUUUUUGUUUUAUUAUUCCUUUAAUCAAUCUCUACAAUUUUGUUUUUCUUGCUUGUUUGUCCAGUAAGGCAAGUAUACGCCUACACUAACUACAAUCAAGUAUCUCAUUUUUUAUGGACUUGUUACCAAGGUUACAAGACAAAUAAUGGACAUUUGUAGAUCAAUUGUGUUUCUCAACUUUUCUACGUAGCAUUUGUUAAAACCAAAUAUAUGUUCCCAAAUGAAGUACCGUAAUUUUUAUAUAGACUUUCGUUCGCAAAAAAAAAUUAUAUAGACUUUUUUUGUUAGUGGUGUAGGUUUGUUUUUUAGUUUUAUGAUUUAUUUUAGUUUUGUAAUUUUUUUCUAAACGUCACUGUAGCGUUAGCACAGGCAAUAUACUAGUGAAGUCUAAUAAGCCAGAUAGAGAAGAUAGCAUAACAAACGUGAAGCACCUAUAUGUUAUCUAUUGUAAUGCCUCUAAUUGUUAUUUUCUACUUAGAGCAUGUUCAAGAGUUUUCAAAACCCAUUCCCAUUCUUGAUUUUAUGGCAAGAUUGAAAGAAAACGCUCUCUAACAACUCCUUAUCUCAACUAUUAGUCCUUCCGUACUUAAGAAAACCAAUCCAAUCACACAGAAGUAUACGUGCACAUAUUGAUCGGUCAAUCCGCAGGUAGAAGCAUAUGGAGAAAGAAUAUAUAGCAAGGGCAGGGUUCCCAAUACAAAGUUUACAAGAUGUAAAGAAAAUGUAAAAAUAGUCGAGGUGGUUUUAAAAAAUAGUCUGCAAUUAUUGAAAAGAGUUGAAGGAAACUAAUAAAAAUGCUCUUAAUUCUUUUAGUCACUUAAAAAAUAAUCGAUCUACCAAUUGUUUUUAAAAAUCUUAAAGAUUCUCUUGGAUGACUCGGUUUGCGUCAUUGUUGUUUAUACUCAAACUAAGGGUCACUU